GCAUUAUUGCAUUUCGGUCCACAUUUCCAUGUGUUUGGAAACAGUGUAAAAAUACCUCUAUUAUCGAUGUAAAUUUGCAAACAUCCUCGAGUUUACAUCGAUAUGAGAGUGGAAAACUGCGUCGAUUUUUUCGGAGUAAAAAUUUAGGCAAUGAGUUUACCUUCUCUUCUUCCAUCGAGGGAAAUAAGCAAUGAGUUUACCUUCAUCCACCGCAUGGUGGUCUGAGUAACGACUAUUUUCCCAUUUCCCAUUCUCGGAUUUGAGAUCUGAGGAGUCUGAAACGUCCACCGGCUUCCUUCUGAGAUCUGAGGAGUCCGAACCGGCUAUUUUACCCUCAUCCAUUGCAGCUUCUGAAAUCUAAAGAGUCGCACCGAAAUGGCUAUUUACCCUCAUCCAUAGCAGCUUCUAAGAUCUAAGGAGUCCAACCAAAACGUCUCUUUAGGACAAGGGAUGUGCACAUACUGCUGCUCCAUAGAGCUAAAGUCAACAAAUGAGUUAAUUCUUGUCCUUAUCCCCAACAUAUUCAUUCUGGAUGAUCCAAGAAAGAAAAAUACAUGGUGAAUGGGUGGGGCCACCUUGAUUUUUUGUUGGGUCUUAGCAAUGGUAUGAUGUUUAUUAAUGUCUAUUUUAUUAUUGUGAGAAUAAUCAUUAUCUCACUUCUUUCUAGCAUGUUGUUCAUAAUGCAUGAAAAUUGACAAUUUCUUCUUUUUUUGGUGGAAUCUAAACUGUAGUCUCCUCCAUUAAUUUGCCUUUAUUUGCUUAUUAUGUACAUCCACCAAUCUAGUAAAAACUUAUUAGUAGGAUUUCAGUCCAGCAACCUCUUUGAGCAUAAAGUUACAUCAUCUAAAGCUACCAAUCUCUUUUUCUUUUGUCCCAACCUCUCACCACAACCGGUAUCUGGUCUUGCAACAGAGAUGGGGACUUUUCUUAUGUACACUCUCUUACUGUAUUAGGUUCUCAUUGAUUUUCCCGGUAGCCUGCUUGUAUUUUUUUUUCAUCCAUCAGUAAAUUAAUUACUUUAUCUUUUUCAAAAAAAAAAAGUCUACAAAGAUUGAUAUUUCAAGUCCCCUGAACAAUACUCUAUCUUCAAUUUUUUGUUUCUAUCUCUUUCCAUUCAAUUUUUGGAGGUCUUCCAAGUGGCUCAUGGGCAGGUUGGAAGAGUUGCUAUUUAAUAGUCAAAAGGUCUUAAAAUUUUGUAUGAUAACAAUCUAACACUUUUUAUAUUGGUGUAAGUUUCCAAAUGCCAACAAAAUCACACCGAUUGUUUUGCAUCUUGGUGCCAAAUGUGAAGAGCAUAAAUCAAACAUACAAAAGCAAACCGGUGGAAUGCUAAUUUACACUAUGCAAAUUUGUAUUUACCUUCUUUCCAAACGCAACCUUAAGAACUUUUCUUAUAAAAUUACAGUUGUUCCUUGUUAUAUUCAGCUGUUAAGGGGUAUUUUGAUCAUUUUGUAUUGUUUUGUAUUCUAGGACUGAAACUAGUGUUAAUCAAACCAAUAACAUUCAUCUCCCUCUCUCUCUCUCUUCCUCCUUCUCUUUCUCUCUUUGAAACCUUUAUCAAAGAGACAAAGCACAAAGCAAGUAAGAGCUCAUAUCAAAACCCAAAUUGAACAAACACAGUAGGGAAAUAAAUGCAAUGAUCUAUCAAACCCAUUGCCUUCGUUCCUCCAAAUUUUACUCAUUCUCCUUUGAUUGGUUCUAAAAGCAAGUGCACCUUUGUUGUAGAGAACCCACAAAUGAAUUGGUAAACGUGAAAUAUAAACUUCUAUUUUCUGGUGGUAGAAUUACUUUUUGGAAAAAUGCUAAAGAAAAACUGGAAAAAAAAAGAGUAAAAAAAUCUAUUCAAGAAAGACAUUAAUCAUUAAAGCUUCCUCAAAGUUUCUCAUAUAGCUCAUUUAAUGGAAAAUACGCGUACGGACUAAAUGUUGGGUAUAUAAAAAAUCCCAUAGAAGUCAUCUUUAAUGUUCAAAGUUCAAACAUUAGCAACCUUUAUGCUAAUUCCACCACUAGAAAUAAUUGUUACUUAGGGUCUGUUUGAUUGCUGAGAAAGGGAUGAGAAAAGGGAAUAUUCCCGAAUGAUUCUCUCUUUCUUAUGUUUGUUUACUGGUAAACAGUGUUUUGGGAUGAGAAAUUAGAGGGAUGCGGGAUCCCAAAAUUUAGUGAGCGGGAUCGCACCAUUUUGGUGCGACCCCAGUGAGAAAAGAAAGGCUAAGAAAAUCUAUCGGGUUUGUCAGAGCAAGAGGUCGACAAGCUCGUCUCCCCUUCGAAGCUGCUGUUCCAACUGCCAUAUCUCCGGUAGAUUCUCCGGCCAUCUCUGUGGAAGGAACAGCGGAAGGCUGAACACCGCCCCUUCUCAGCAAGGAGUGUUUUCUUUCUGAUGUCAUUGUUGAUCCGAGCCAAAAUCUUGAGAUAAAAAAACCAUCUUCUCUCUUUGAAUCGAAGAAAUGGGGAUUUUGAUGAUUAUAAAUAGAAAUGGGGAUUUUGGGUAUGUUAGAAGGUUAAAUGUAGUUAGAAAUUAUUCAUGUGCUUAGGGUAUUUUUGAUGGUUUGAGUUGUGAUGGUAUAAGGUGCUUGUUUAUGAAAUCGAUGGGAGAUAUUUGGGUUUGGAUUCAUUUUGUUUGGAUUCAUUUUAUUGCAGGUAUAAGAUAUUUGGGUUUUGUUUUUUUUUCUCUAAAGAAUGAUGUUAUUAUCUGUUUAUGUGAUUUUAUUCAUUUAUUUGUUGUUCUGCUUUUUUGCUUUUCUCCAACAUAGGAUUUGAGUAUUUCUAAUCAAGGCGCACUUAGUGGAGUUUGUAACACUUAUUUCUUAUCAUUCUAAAAGCACCUUAGCACUUUUUUUUUGGGGGGGGAUU